rnacentral:rRNA from 1 species
GUGCAGCAGGCGAGAAUCCUCCGCAAUACACGAAAGUGUGACGGGCCAUCCCGAGUGCCGUCCGCUGAGGACGGCUUUUCCCCAGUGUACAUAGCUGGGGGAAUAAGGAGAGGGCAAGCCUGGUGUCAGCCGCCGCGGUAAGUACCAGCUCUCCGAGUGGUGGGGACGCUUAUUGGGCCUAAAGCAGUCCGUAGCCGGCU